rnacentral:rRNA from 1 species
CCUACGGGCCGCACCAGUGGGGAAUAUUGGACAACGGGGGCAACCCUGAUCCAGCAAUGCCGCGUGUGUGAAGAAGGUUUUCGGAUUGUAAAGCACUUUCGGCGGGGACGAUGAUGACGGUACCCGCAGAAGAAGCCCCGGCUAACUUCGUGCCAGCAGCCGCGGUAAUACGAAGGGGGCUAGCGUUGCUCGGAAUGACUGGGCGUAAAGGGCGUGUAGGCGGUUUGUACAGUCAGAUGUGAAAUCCCCGGGCUUAACCUGGGAGCUGCAUUUGAUACGUGCAGACUAGAGUGUGAGAGAGGGUUGUGGAAUUCCCAGUGUAGAGGUGGAAUUCGUAGAUAUUGGGAAGAACACCGGUGGCGAAGGCGGCAACCUGGCUCAUGACUGACGCUGAGGCGCGAAAGCGUGGGGAGCAAACAGGAUUAGAUACCCGUGUAGUC